GACGAACGCUGGCGGCGUGCUUAACACAUGCAAGUCGAACGGAAAGGCCCUGCUUGCAGGGUACUCGAGUGGCGAACGGGUGAGUAACACGUGGGUGGUCUGCCCUGCACUUCGGGAUAAGCAAGGGAAGCUGGGUCUAGUACCGGAUAGGAGCCAUAUUUAGUGUGAUGGUUGGAAAGUUUUUUCGGUGUAUGAUGAGCUCGCGGCCUAUCAGCUUGUUGGUGGGGUAAUGGCCUACCAAGGCGGCGGCGGGUAGCCGGCCUGAGAGGCUGGACGGCCAUCUUGGGUCUGACGUACGGCCCAGACUCCUACGGGUGGCAGCAGUGGGGAAUAUUGCACAAUGGGCGCAAGCCUGAUGCAGCGACGCUGCGUGGGGGAUGACGGCCUUCGGGUUGUAAACUCCUUUCGCUAGGGACGAAGCUUUUUGUGACGGUACCUAGACAAGAAGCACCGGCUAACUACGUG
rnacentral:rRNA from 1 species